GUUUGGAUAGUCAAGAGGUCGAAGACAACAGACUGUUAAUCUGUCGUGGCAUUGUCCCCAUCGUAGGUCCGAAUCCUACUCCAAACG
rnacentral:tRNA from 1 species